CCUACGGGAGGCAGCAGUGGGGAAUUUUGGACAAUGGGCGCAAGCCUGAUCCAGCAAUGCCGCGUGCAGGAAGAAGGCCUUCGGGUUGUAAACUGCUUUUGUACGGAACGAAACGGCUCUGGUUAAUACCUGGGGCUAAUGAUGGUACCGUAAGAAUAAGCACCGGCUAACUACGUGCCAGCAGCCGCGGUAAU
rnacentral:rRNA from 1 species